AAUGGCAGGUCAGCAUACUGCCGUGAAUACGUUCCCGGGCCUUGUACACACCGCCCGUCACACCAUGAGAGUUGGGAAUACCCGAAGCCUGUGAGCUAACUAUAUGAGGCAGCAGUCGAAGGUAGAAUCAAUGAUUGGGGUGAAGUCGUAACAAGGUAAC
rnacentral:rRNA from 1 species